GUCGUAAGUGUCGUAUGGGUAAAAAUUUUCGCAGAACUGUCAAACCAUGCGUCAAUAAAUUCUCUCAGCGAAAACAUGUCUAUACAAAACUAUUGGAAAUAUAAACUAUCCUUUCUCUCAAGUUGGACUAAACUGCACUCCAUGAAGUAAUCCCCAUCAAAAUCCAUUCAAUACUUUAGGAGUUAACUGGAAACAAACAUCAGGACACUGGAUUUAUAUGGUAGGUGUCACGGACAGCCCUCUAUGCAGAGGUUGCCUGGGGGCAGAGGAAACAGCCGCUCACGUUCUGCUGGAAUGCAUUGAGGUGGCAAACUACAGGGCGAAGCACCUGGGGUCACCGGGCGCUCUUCGGGAAGUCUUCCGCGACAUUAAGAGGUUGGGUGACUUCUUGGAGGAGCUUGGCUGGUUGGAGUAGCCUCUACCACCCUCGCACGCAAAAUAGGCGCAUAUGACGUCGAGUUGCGGAAAGCGCCCGUAUGAAGAAGAAGAAGAAGAAGAAUCGCUUAUUCUGAGGAUCAAAAUGUCAAAACAAUAAUAGACCCACUUAUCAUACCGCAAUAAUAUGUUCAUGAACCUGAGCUUCGGUUUUCCUUUACAUGCGCUUUCCGAUCACCAUUAUUAUUAUUACACGAGAACGAAAAUCCGUCGACAAUAUCAUUUUG